UACGGGGGGGGCAAGCGUUGUUCGGAAUUACUGGGCGUAAAGGGCUCGUAGGCGGCCAACUAAGUCGGAUGUGAAAUCCCCAAGCUUAACUUGGGAACUGCAUCCGAUACUGGAUGGCUUGAAUCCGGGAGAGGGAUGCAGAAUUCCAGGUGUAGCGGUGAAAUGCGUAGAUAUCUGGAGGAAUACCGGGUGGCGAAGGCGGCAUCCUGGACCGGCAUUGACGCUGAGGAGCGAAAGCUAGGGGAGCAAACGGGG
rnacentral:rRNA from 1 species